rnacentral:rRNA from 1 species
UACGUAGGUGACAAGCGUUGUCCGGAUUUACUGGGCGUAAAGAGCGCGCAGGCGGUCGUUCAAGUCGAGUGUGAAAGCCCCCGGCUCAACUGGGGAGGGUCAUUCGAUACUGAUCGACUCGAAGGCAGGAGAGGGUAGUGGAAUUCCCGGUGUAGUGGUGAAAUGCGUAGAUAUCGGGAGGAACACCAGUGGCGAAGGCAGGUCUCUGGGCCGAUACUGACGCUGAGGAGCGAGAGCGUGGGGAGCGAACAGG